rnacentral:rRNA from 1 species
AACGCUGGCGGCGUGCUUAAUACAUGCAAGUCGAACGAAGCCCCUUUUCUUCGGACGAGGGUGACUGAGUGGCGAACGGGUGAGUAACGCGUUGGUAACCUGCCCCAAAGAGGGGGAUAACAGUUCGAAAGGACUGCUAAUACCCCAUGUGAUCAUCAGGAUUAGAUGCUUGAUGAUGAAAGGAGUAAUCCGCUUUGGGAGGGGCCUGCGUCCCAUCAGCUAGUUGGUAGGGUAAUUGCCUACCAAGGCUAUGACGGGUAGGGGACCUGAGAGGGUGGCCCCCCACACUGGCACUGAAACACGGGCCAGACACCUACGGGUGGCAGCAGUAGGGAAUAUUGGACAAUGGGCGAAAGCCUGAUCCAGCAACGCCGCGUGCGCGAUGACGGCCUUCGGGUUGUAAAGCGCUUUUAGGGGAGAUGAGAAAGGACAGUAUCCCCUGAAUAAGCCUCGGCGAACUACGUGCCAGCAGCCGCGGUAAAACGUAGGAGGCAAGCGUUAUCCGGAUUUAUUGGGCGUAAGCGCGUGCAGGCGGCUUGGUAAGUUGGAUGUGAAAGCUCCUGGCUUAACUGGGAGAGGUCGUUCAAUACUAUCAAGCUAGAGAAUGGGAGAGGGAAGUGGAAUUCCGGGUGUAGUGGUGAAAUGCGUAGAUAUCCGGAGGAACACCAGUGGCGAAAGCGGCUUCCUGGACCAUUUCUGACGCUAAGACGCGAAAGCUAGGGGAGCGAACGGGAUUAGAGACCCCGGUAGUCCUAGCUGUAAACGAUGUAGACUUGGCGUUGGCGGAGUUAAAUCUGCCAGUGCCGGAGCUAACGCGUUAAGUCUACCGCCUGGGGACUACGACCGCAAGG